GUAUUUUAGAGAAAUAAGAUUUCUGUGGUUACCAUGACCUGCUGUUACAGAUUACAUGGUACCCUCUCUUCAUAUGUUGAAGUCCUAGCCACCCCGCCGAACCUCAGAAUGUGACUGUAUUUGGAGAUAGGGUCUUUACAGAGGAAAUCAAGUUAAAAUGAAGUCAUUAGGGCAGGCCCUAAUCCGAUAUGAUCCUGUGUUCUUAGAAGAGGAAAUGUGGACUCAGGUGUGUAUGGAGGGAAGAUGUCUUGCAAGCCCAAGGAGAAGAUGGCCAUCUGAGCCCACGUCCUGGAACAGAGACUUCCCUCACAGCCUCAGAAAGAACCAGCCCUGCUGACGUCUUGAUCUCAGACCUCCAGCCUCCAGAACUGGGAGACGAUUCAGUCAGCAUCUACACAACACAGGGUUGAACUGUGCGGGUCCACUUCUAUGCAGAUUAUUUUCUUUUUUCUUUUUUGAGACAGAGUCUCGCCCGGUUGCUCAGGCUGAAGUGUAGUGGUGUGAUCUUGGCUUACUGCAGCUUCCACCUCCCAGGUGCAAGUGAUUCUCCUGCCUCAGCUUCCCAAGUAGCUGGGACUAUGGGUACUCGCCACCACACCUGGCUAAUUUUUGUAUUUUUAGUAGAGAUGGGGUUUCACCAUGUUGGUCAGGCUGGUCUUGAACUCCUGACCCCAAGUGAUCUGCCUGCCUUGGCCUCCCAGAUUGCUGGGAUUACAGGUGUGAGCCACCGUGCCCGGCCCUAUAUAACUCUUUGUGCAAGUUUUUACCCCUAAAAGAUAUCUGCCAUCUCAGCCAUGGAACAGACACUGUAAGAACAUGAAGGCUCAAGGGCAGGGCUGGCUACAUAAUUUGUGGGACCCAUUACAAAAUGAACAUGGAGAAAAAACUAGAAAAAAGUGUAGUACAAGGUACUAUAAUAGAUUUUUCCUUUGAAAACAGUUUAAUACUUAUAAAAUGUAAUAGAGGGAAAUAGUGACACGUGAGUAACAAAAUGGGCGUAUCAAUUGGUCUAUGCUAUUUUUGGUGUUAUAAUUUUACCUAAUAUAAUAAGCAGCAACACUUUGUUAGUGAGACGGGCUUUCACCAUGUUGGCCAGGCUGGUCUGGAACUCCUGACCUCAGGUGAUCCGCCUGCCUCAGCCUUCCAAAGUGCUGGGAUUACAGGUGUGAGCCUCUGCGCCCGGCUGUGAUGUCUUGAUUGAUCAUAGGAUUUUUCUGGCUAUUCUAGCUACUUCCAAUUCGCUUCAGCCAAUUUAGUUGAAGUUUUAUCACUUGUGACUUCAGAGUCCUGGUUAAUAUCCUGUUGCCCUCAGGACAUGCAGGAUGGAGGAAGGCACCAGGGAGCCGAGGGAAGUGAGCAGAGAGGCAGUCACUUCAGGGCCACCAGCAUAGCCCCCGUCACUGUCCACAGACACAGGCCCUUCCCCUUCUCAUGGUUGAGCAGGCUCCACCUCACUUCCGUGUAUGACUUCAUAGACCGUUAGGUUCCGUGGUACCCUGGAGUCCACAGCUGCUGAAUCUGAAGGGCCAUCAGAAGACUGGCUUCUCCAUGAUGGUUUAUGGACUAAGGCAAAGAUGAGCAGAGCCAUGGCCCUCUUCUUUGUUCUCUGCUGGAUCCAAGUAGAGAUGGGAUUUCAUCAUGUUGGCCAGGCUGGUCAUGAACUCCUGACCUCAAUGGAUCCUCCUGCCUCAGCUUCCUGAGUAGCUGGGACCACAGGUGCACACCACCACGCCCAGGUAAUUAAUUUUUAUUUUUUGUAGAGUCGGGGGUCUCCCUAUGUUUCCCAGGCUGGCCUCGAACUCCUGACCUCAAGUGAUCCUCCCACCUCAGCCUCCCCGAGUGCUGGGAUUAAAGACGUGAGCCACGGCACCUGGCCUGAAUUUUCCUCAAAUUCAAAAAAUCCUGAUGAAGGUUUGGCUAAAAUCUUUGGUGAGUUACCCCACUCCCUGUGGAACCUCAGGCUGGAUUUGAAGAGUUGCGUGCAUGGUCCUCAUUGUCUCCCAGGUAACCUGUUCCCGCUGCUGUGAAGGGAAGGCAGGUGCUCUUCCUUGAGGCUAGAAUCUGUCUACGUGUCACAGUCUCAGGAAAUUAAGCAAAACAGAUGAUAAACACCUCAAAAGGACCCUACUGAGCAUCAGUGGAGCAGAGCAGGGCCAUGUGGGACUGCGGCGUCAGAUGCCACCUCACACUAGCUGUGACACACCUGCCUCGCCAGUUUCUGCUCUGAGGCCCCAAAGCCGAGCUGAACCUCCUCCAGGGGUUCUCAGCCCUAACUGAGCAUGAAAACCCCUGGGGCAAUCCUCUUUUUAACAAUUGAGACAUUCCACACACACCCCACAUCAGAUUUUGGGGUGUGGGGAUAGACCUUCACAUUUGUAGUUUUCUAACCCUCCAGGGGACACUAGGCUGAGACUCAUUGGUCUCCACUCUGAACCUUCCACUGAACAUGUGAGAAAAACUAAGGCCCAGGGAAGUCUUUAGCAGAGAGCUGAGACGGAGAAAAGGGUUCUGAACCACAGCUGUCUGCUGAAGGAAGCUGUCCAAAGGCCAGUGAAGUCUCUCCUGAGGGUGCCUGGGCUGUGCAUCAGGAGUGAAGGUUGAGGGUCACCUUAGGUGUGAGAAGGAGCAACUGGGAGAGUGGCGCUGAUGCUUCCCCCCGGGUUAGGAGGCAUUUGGAUCACAGAGCGAUGCCUGUUCAUUCCUGCUUGCAAGGGAGCAGAUCUCUCGACACCCGAUGGGCCUCUAUUCCGUUCCGGCAGCUGUCCGUGUCAGGAGCGCUGGGCUUGCUCCUCCCCACGGGAGCCAUCACAGAGGCCUCGGGCAGUCUGCAUAGACAACUGCCUGGCAGGUGACCAGGAGGGGAUGCAUGAGCAGAUGCAGGUAGCACUCGCAGUCCCCCUAGCUGUGCCCUCAGCACCUGCUGUCUAGGAGGCAGAAGCCUUGUUCUCGGCCUUGCAGGUGACCCCAGUGUCUCUGAAUUCGGCCCCAUAUGUGUAGGAGGGGAGUGAUUGCAUCUGAAGAUGGGAGUCUGGUUGGGGGUUUGGGAAGCUCCCAUCACCCCUCAAGAGUCCACUGACCAGCCCAGCUCACACCAGGUGGGCCUUGGCACUGGAGGCCACGGCUCAACUCUGCAGUUCCCUCUGGGCAGCAUUUCCAGGGACUCGUAGGUCAGCAUGGUCAUCAAGGACAGGUGGUGAGAGCAGCUCCUCAUUGUCCUGGUGACCCCGAUGGUUCAUUUUCUGGUGUCUCUGUGGUGAGCUCCUGUUACAUCAAGCGAGUGGAAACCACCGAGGACCAACAGCCCUGGAAAUGCACUGAGAAUGCAGGAUGAGUGGGCUUUGUGAGGACUGUUUUCUGUGACUUAGCAAGGAAAGCCUGGAAGGGAAAGUAAAACUGCUUCUUCCCAGGGAAGCCAGAAACCUGAGAACUUAAAAGGGAAGGAGAACUUAAUAUAUUUCAAAAAUGUAACCCUUGUGAAUUAGCAACAGCUUUAUAAACAAAGAGAUUUCCGAGCUUAUAGAAUCUAUUCUGCUUUGUUUCUGCCCCCAUGGCUCCUACCCCUGUUUUUGUGGGUACAAUUUUCAUAUAGAACAUUUUUACACAAGCUUCAAAACUCUCUGAGGACAGCUUUCCCCUUUGUGUCUGUCGGGUCCCAGGCAGUCACAUCCCAGGAAGUGCUGGGGUUGGGCUCCUUGCUCCACAUCCUUCUUCAGUGGCACGAAGCGUGGGGUGGAGUGUGUGAGUCAUGUGUGAUCUUGGUGUGGGCUAUGGCUGGUCUGCAGCACCCCUUCAAUGACUGCUUCAAGGGCUUUUCAUGAUGCUUGUAGCUCAUGAGCUAGUGUUUCCUAGAUGCUGUUUCCAGGUGUCUUGCAUGUCACACACUGGCCUACCAGGGCUGGAGUGAGAUCAUGAGCGCCAGAUUGUUGGUGAAGGAAGUUGACAGAGACAUCGAAUGUCGGUGAACAGGAGUGACCUUGGGUCUCAAUAAAUACUGUGGUCAACUGAAUCCAGAACCCACCCUUACCAGCAGGGCCCACUUCUUCCCCAGCAGGCCGAGCUCUUCCCCUCCUGUCUUCCCUGGCCCUUGCUUUGUAGCUCUGUGUGGCUGUGUCAUGUCUGGUUGUAUCUGUAUAUACUUCUGCCUCUCCCGCUAUCUAGAUGGCUCGGGGAGGCACACCACACACCAGGUCACCUUCCUCUCUGAACCCCCAGCACCUCAUACUGUUUCUGUGCAGAGAUAAGGCUGGGUGAAAGCUUGUGUGAAUGAUCUGAAGUCUUCUACUCUAGGCCAGUCUCCAGGAGCAUUAUGAUCUUUAGGAGGGUGGGCUUGGUUCCUCUGUACAAUAAUGGGUCAUAAAACUGAGUGGUCAAGAUCAUCCCGGUGAGGGCAGUCCGUGUGUUGCCAUAGUUGCUGUACCGGUUAAGAAUGCACCUGGCUGCAAUUUCCUGAAAACCUGACGUAUAGUGGCUUAAACAAAGAGUGGUUUAUUUUCCUUCUGUCAUAGCAAUCUGGGGGAGGCCACUGUGGCUUUGGCGCAGGAGGUCGGGAAAGGCCCGCUUCUCUGAUAUCAUUGGGGGCCUCCCCAGUGCUUGUGUGGCAGAAUGACAAGAGGAAGAAGAAGGAGAAUUAUGGCACUGAGUAUCAUGAGAUUUGGGGUCAUAUAUCUUUAGUGGGCGGUGUUUGCUGCCCCAAAUGUCUCAUGCCAUUAAAAUGUUCUGGAAAUGAUUUAGGUAGUUGGAGUUUCCUUCCCAAAGACAAGGCAUUUACAGCAUGAUGUCCAAUAUCCAUUGAGUUUGUGUCAUGCAUUCAUUGUAUUCAUAGUCUGCUUUAGGUACUUAGCAAAAUAUUGCUGAUAUUAACAUGCCUUUGUUUGCUUCACUGGAGAUGAAAUUGUGCUCCAAGUGUUUUCCAAGGUUCCGUAUGACCCAUCAUUUGAUGAAACAAGAACAGCAGUCAGAUCCAUUACAAAGAGAGACACACAAAAAAGCUAUUCCCAACAGAAGAGCUUGAACAAUGCUGCAUUUGCAUCAGGUUCAAAUGAGCGAGAGGAACAUUUGGCUAAAAUAUUUGGAACCAGCAUUGCUUGGAAUUCUCCUAAACCAGAAUAUUUCCUUGGCAGUGUGGACAAAAUUCCUGAUAAAGAGAUGGGGUUUCACUGUGUUAGCCAGGAUGGUCUCGAUCUCCUGACCUCAUGAUCCGCCCGCCUCGGCCUCCCAAAGUGCUGGGAUUACAGGCGUGAACCACCAUGCCCGGCCCAGAAUGUCCUUUCUUUUCGAAGCGGAGUAAUAUUCCAUUAUCACCUUUCAGAGGAGAAGAAUUUUAAAGAAUCCUGUCUGUUCGACAGGGAUUUAAGAGAGCAGUUAACUACUAUAGAUAAAGAAACACUUCAAGGAGCAGCUAAACCAGAUGCUCACUUUAGGACUAUGCCCUGCGGGCAGCUUCUGCACUUCCUGCAGAGGAACACCAUCAUCGCCGCCGUCUCAGGGGUGGCCAUCCUCAUGGCCAUCGUGCUGUUGCUGCUUGGGUUGGCCUCAUACAUCAGGAAGAAACAGCCAUCAUCUCCUCUGGCAAACACGACAUAUAAUAUUUUUAUAAUGGAUGGAAAGACAUGGUGGCACAAUUCUGAAGAAAAAAAUUUCACAAAACUUGCAAAAAAACAGAAACAGUUGAAGAGCAGCUCCUGUGUCUAAGCCAGGUCGUGGGGCCGUCAAACCAGGACUUGAAACCACAAUGCGAGGACAUUCUCCAUCUGCGCACCACAGGGAGGCAAUUCCAUUUCUGCCCGGGAGGUGUAUUCUACAAAAACGUCUGCUUCCCAUCCCAAUUUGAAUGGACCAAGAAAAACUGCUUUACCAUAGGACACUUGUGGCAAUAUGGCACCGAUGGCUGGCGUCGGUGAACCCGACAGACUAUGGAUUUAUCAUUUAAUAAAGCAUUGAUUCAUUUUUUCAGUCAUUCAUUGAACAGAUAUUAAUAGACCACCUCACAUGCUGACAAUAUCAAAAUACAAUGAGGAAACUAACAGUGACCCAGGCAUGCAUUCUUCCCCGAGCAAGAUCACAGUCCAUGGUGUGAGCACAACCAUACUAAAUAGCUUUUAUGGGAGGUGGGAGUACAGAAAGUAUUAUAUCUGCAAAGAAACUGCUAAGAAUUGUGGGAGCGCCCCAGGAGGUGAUUUCCUGCUUGCGUGACCAGCACAAAGAAAUGGGGUAAUUGAGAGUGUCAUGAAGUGGGGUUAUUUAUUUAUUGAGUC
rnacentral:lncRNA from 10 species